GUGGGGAAUUUUGGACAAUGGGCGAAAGCCUGAUCCAGCCAUGCCGCGUGCAGGAUGAAGGCCUUCGGGUUGUAAACUGCUUUUGUACGGAACGAAAAGACUCUGGUUAAUACCUGGGGUCCAUGACGGUACCGUAAGAAUAAGCACCGGCUAACUACGUGCCAGCAGCCGCGGUAAUACGUAGGGUGCAAGCGUUAAUCGGAAUUACUGGGCGUAAAGCGUGCGCAGGCGGUUAUAUAAGACAGAUGUGAAAUCCCCGGGCUCAACCUGGGAACUGCAUUUGUGACUGUAUAGCUAGAGUACGGCAGAGGGGGAUGGAAUUCCGCGUGUAGCAGUGAAAUGCGUAGAUAUGCGGAGGAACACCGAUGGCGAAGGCAAUCCCCUGGGCCUGUACUGACGCUCAUGCACGAAAGCGUGGGGAGCAAACAGGAUUAGAAACCCCUGUAGUCC
rnacentral:rRNA from 1 species